ACGUAGGGCGCAAGCGUUGUCCGGAAUUAUUGGGCGUAAAGAGCUCGUAGGUGGCUUGUCGCGUCUGCCGUGAAAGCCCAUGGCUUAACUGUGGGUCUGCGGUGGAUACUGUCGGACUAGAGUACGGAAGAGGCGAGUGGAAUUCCCGGUGUAGCGGUGAAAUGCGCAGAUAUCGGGAGGAACACCAAUUGCGAAGGCAGCUCGCUGGGACGUCACUGACGCUGAGACGCGAAAGCGUGGGGAGCAAACAGGA
rnacentral:rRNA from 1 species